UCAUUGUCGAUACCUGUCCAAAACAGAACGACCCGUGAACGUGUAAUACCAACAUAACAUAAUUGACUCCUCCCCCCGCUUGUCGGCGCGCGCUUCGCCCCCUAACUAACCGUAAGAGGACGCGGUAGAUGACACGGUGGGAAGGUAACGAACCCCGGCGCAGUGGGCGCCAAGGAAACACUUUUUGGAAGCGCCGUCGCGGCCUCCCCCUCCUCCGCGGCGGGACGGAGGGUGGGGACGCGGGCGCGGAUAUAGAUAUCGUAUUCUGUUAAACGACUCUCGGCAACGGAUAUCUUGGCUCGCGCAUCGAUGAAGAACGUAGCGAAAUGCGAUACUUGGUGUGAAUUGCAGAAUCCCGUGAACCAUCGAGUUUUUGAACGCAAGUUGCGCCCGAGGCCAUCCGGCCAAGGGCACGCCUGCCUGGGCGUCACGCAUCCCGUCGCUCCUCGCAUACCAUCCAGUAUGAGUGCACGGAUGCGGAGAUUGGCCCCCCGUGCCCCGUGCGCGGCGGUCAAGUGCGGGCCGUCGUCGGCCGGGCGCGGCUAGUGGUGGACGAGAUUCGUUGUGCCUACUCUCCGUGUCCCGACCCCCACGCGACGCGUCGUCGGACCCCUCACCAAGGAGCAGCGCAGGAAUGACAUCCUGAACGCGACCCAGGUCAGGCGGGGCUACCCGCUGAGUUUAAACAUAUCA
rnacentral:rRNA from 1 species